GACAAAAGUGCAUAACCGCACUUCCCGUCGCCACACCCUUUCCUACUCAUUUCGGUCGACGUGUGUGCAUCGUCGCCACGCCAUUCCCUGUUCGAAGACCCUCUGUUCUCUUCUCCUCCAUCUCGGCGCCCUAAUCGCAUUUGGAGAUGGCGGGGCACAGGUCGAGUUUGCCCUUGCGGCUGCAGCAGAUUCUCUCCGGCGGGAGGGCCAUGUGGCCGGAGCUUAAAUUGGAGCAUGAUGCUAAGGACCUGUUAUAUUGGCAGAAAAAUUUCAAUUGUUUAAACUUUCUAUCAUUUGGGAAAGUGAUAUCCAAUAUGUGAAUCUAAGAGAAAGAAAGAAUUGCAACAUUGGGAAAUUUGUGGACUUCUGUAGGGAGAACAGUUUCAGAGAAACUAGAGGAGUAAGAACAGUUCUCAGUUUUUCUAUUUCAUUUGAUGUAGUAGGUUUCGACGUAGUAAGAAACCUGUGGAGUAAGAAUAGUUCUCAGUUUUUCUUUUAUGUUUGAUGUUGCUAAGAUCUGGGAUUGGCUAUAUGCAGCAAAGAAAUUGUAUACUGUUAUAUCAGAUGUAGUAGGUUUCAAGUUUGGUAGUAAAUGAAUGCAAUUGCCAUCACAUUGGGGGUAUCUGUGGAUUGAAUCACAUGUUUCAAUAUUCUCUGUUUUCUCCAAAAUUGUUGCAUGAGGCAUAGAUGAGAUAAUAAUUAUUAACAAAUUGUAAAUCAAGUGUUAUGGAGCAUUGAAGACCAGGCAGAAGACAUUGUUGUAUGUCAUGUUCAAAUGAUACAGUAAUUUUCCUUUUUCUUUGUUAUAGUUUGCAGUUAUUAUAAUGUAUAAAAUUAUAUGUGGUUCAUAAUGAUUCAUGUAGUAUAGGCUUAUGAAAUAGAAACAGUAAAAUUCCCUUAUCUUCAUCAUCAUUAUCAUCACCAACAUCAACAUCUCAACUAUGUGAACACAGAAUGCUCUUCUUUUGCUUCUUCCUACUAGUAAUGACAAAAUUGAUUUUUUUUUCCAAACAAGUGAAAUUUAUUUUAAUUCCAGAUGAAUUUUUUGCUCUUUAAAAUGCAUCACUAUUUGGAAAUAUAAAGAAAAAUUAAGUUUUUGUCCUCAAAAUAUUUAUUCAU